ACGCACGCUGGCGGCGUGCUUAACACAUGCAAGUCGCACGGAAAGGCCCUGCUUUUGUGGGGUGCUCGAGUGGCGAACGGGUGAGUAACACGUGAGUAACCUGCCCUUGACUUUGGGAUAACUUCAGGAAACUGGGGCUAAUACCGGAUAGGAGCUCCUGCUGCAUGGUGGGGGUUGGAAAGUUUCGGCGGUUGGGGAUGGACUCGCGGCUUAUCAGCUUGUUGGUGGGGUAGUGGCUUACCAAGGCUUUGACGGGUAGCCGGCCUGAGAGGGUGACCGGCCACAAUGGGACUGAGAGACGGCACAGACUCCUACGGGAGCCAGCAGUGGGGAAUAUUGCACAAUGGGCGGAAGCCUGAUGCAGCAACGCCGCGUGCGGGAUGACGGCCUUCGGGUUGUAAACCGCUUUCGCCUGUGACGAAGCGUGAGUGACGGUAAUGGGUAAAGAAGCACCGGCUAACUACGUG
rnacentral:rRNA from 1 species